rnacentral:tRNA from 1 species
GGAGGGGUAGCGAAGUGGCUAAACGCGGCGGACUGUAAAUCCGCUCCCUCCGGGUUCGCAGGUUCGAAUCCUGCCCCCUCCA